rnacentral:lncRNA from 1 species
ACUCUCUGUUGCCUGCUGCCAUGUAAUGUGUGCCUGUUUUGCCAUGAUUUUAAGUUUCCUGAAGCCUCCUGAGCCCUGCAGAACUGUGAGUCAAUGAAACCUCUUUUCUUUAUAAAAGUCUUGGGCAGUUCUUUGCAGCAGUAUGAAAAUGGACUAAUACAUUAGUAAAUGUGAAUACCAGGAGGCAGGGAUUGUUGGGGGCUACUUUAGAAGGCUGCCUACCACAAUAGCCAUGUAACCUUGAAAAUUUGCUUAAGCUGUUUUGCUCGGUUUCCUUACCUGGGAAACAGGAAUACUAAUAGAACCCACCUGUUAGGGCUGCAGUGCUAAACAUACUAAGAAUGUAUAUGCUAGUGAUUAGCAAAGUGCUACACACAAAGCAAAAUUCAGUACAAUAAUACUGUGCUAUUAUACCUGUUAUUUUUUAGCUAUGUCAUCUCUUUUUAGGUUGAUUCUUUCUUCAUAAAGUGAGAAUUGGAUGAUCUCUAAGUUUCCUUGUAAGCCCAAGGAGUUUACUGAUUUUGUAGACUUAGGAAUCCACAGACUUCUUCAUUUUCAACAAUCUAACCUUUUUUGGACCCCACAUUAGCUUUUCCCCCUCGCUCUUAUAAUACCUAAUUGGGAUCACAUAGAAAAAAAACCCUGAUGUUUCUGAAGGAGAGAUUCUAUUAAUGUUUGGGACAAAUCAACUGUUGCAGGGGCCCUGCCCUGAGAACCAAAGUUUUAUGAAUUUUAGUCCGCAUUCUGCCAGUUGAAACAAGUUCUUUAACCUCUCCCGUCUCAGUUCGUAUAAUUCACGGAGGGUGAGUUGGACUGGAUGAGAUAGCAUUCCUUCUAGCUUAAAAGUCUUUGGAACUAAUUUCCGUUUGCUGCAUAUAUUCGUUUUUAAUUCUCCUUUCCAUGUGUUCCAUAUGUAGUUAUUUAGGGACAAUUUCCUCAGGCAUUUUCAGAACAUUCUCAAUUUUACAAAGAUUAUAGGAUACAAUUAUAGCUUAUAUGAUUUUAGGAACUAUGACAUUGUAAAGAAAAAUUAUUGUGAUAAUCAGUAAACCUCUAAGAUAUUCUUACAAAGGCCACUUUUAGAAAAUCACAGAAAAUGAAGUCGGGUGAUGUUAUUUGUAUGCAUCAGGUGAAAAAAAUACUCCCAAAUGAGGAAAAAUAUUUUGGGACUUUUGAGUUGACUAGAAUUCAAAGUAAAAAAAAAAAAAAAAGCCAGAUCAUUUUCUGUAAUGAUUCAACUCAUUGGACAUUUCUUGAGGUGUCAGUUAUACCUUCUUAGAAAUAG